rnacentral:tRNA from 1 species
GAGAAAGACAUAAUGGUUAUAGAAUUGUCUUGAAACCAGUUUUAGAGGGUUCAAUUCCUUCCUUUCUUA